GAGUGGGAGAAGUGAGGGAUGAAGUAGAGGGGCAAGGGCGGAGGAUGGGGGAAGAAAAUGCAGCGAUACAUAGGAGGGAGGAGGAAGAAAGAUAUACGUUCUUUUUCUCUCUCGUAUUUUUUUUUUUUUUUUUUUCCGUUUCAAGUUUGCUUUGAUUUAGAUCUUUUUCUAGAAUGUGGGUAACAAGAAGUGAAAGUGCCCAAAUUUGUGCAUCC
rnacentral:lncRNA from 1 species